AAAAGCUCGUAGUUGGAUCUCAGUUCCAGACGGGCGGUCCUCCUAACGGUGGUUACUGCCCGGCCUGAACAGCCGGCCGGUUUCCCUAGAUGAUCUUCACCGGUUGUCCUGGGUGACCGGCACGUUUACUUUGAAAAAAUUAGAGUGCUCAAAGCAGGCGCGUAGCCUGAAUAAUGGUGCAUGGAAUAAUGGAAUAGGACUUCGUUUCUAUUUUGUUGGUUUUCGGAACACGAGGUAAUGAUUAAGAGGGACAGACGGGGGCAUUCGUAUUGCGACGCUAGAGGUGAAAUUCUUGGACCGUCGCAAGACGAACUACUGCGAAAGCAUUUGCCAAGAAUGUUUUCAUUAAUCAAGAACGAAAGUUAGAGGUUCGAAGGCGAUCAGAUACCGCCCUAGUUCUAACCAUAAACGAUGCCAACCAGCGAUCCGCCUGAGUUCCUCAAAUGACUCGGCGGGCAGCUUCUGGGAAACCAAAGUGUUUGGGUUCCGGGGGAAGUAUGGUUGCAAAGCUGAAACUUAAAGGAAUUGACGGAAGGGCACCACCAGGCGUGGAGCUUGCGGUUUAAUUUGACUCAACACGGGAAAACCUACCCGGCCCGGACACUGGAAGGAUUGACAGAUUAAGAGCUCUUUCUUGAUUCAGCGGGUGGUGGUGCAUGGCC
rnacentral:rRNA from 1 species